GUUCAGGAGAAAUGGGGCUUUCAUUUCACAUCAAAUAUUUUAUAUGGAACAAUUUAAUAUGAAUAAAAAAAGUGAGAAAUUAAGAAAUUUUAUUUUAACUGUGAAAGUCAUAAUACUGUUAAAUUUUACUGCAAUGAAGCACAUAUCUGUAUGCUCUGAUGCCGCCCAUGUACAUGUUUAUGGUGUUUUGGAAAGGGACAGUAUUAAAUGUACACAUUGAGAUUUGCCAGAUUGGUUAUGUUGCCUUUGAGACCUUAAGGAAUGAAAAUUAUCCCCAUCAUGGCAUAGCAUUUGCAAAAUUAGACAACCAAUUUUAUUCACAAUGGGGUAUGUUGUCUUUUUAUUUAAAUAUUUUUACAGUAGCUACAUUGUAAAAUCUAGCUUGCUUUAUGUAAAAAGGUUACAUAAAUAUACCUAAACAUACAUGUAGA